rnacentral:rRNA from 1 species
UGAGAGCGGCGUACGGGUGCGGAACACGUGUGCACUGCCUUUAUCUGGGGGAUAGCCUUUCGAAAGGAAGAUUAAUACCCCAUAAUAUGUUGGAUGGCAUCAUUCGACAUUGAAAACUCCGGUGGAUAGAGAUGGGCACGCGCAAGAUUAGAUAGUUGGUGAGGUAACGGCUCACCAAGUCUACGAUCUUUAGGGGGCCUGAGAGGGUGAUCCCCCACACUGGUACUGAGACACGGACCAGACUCCUACGGGAGGCAGCAGUGAGGAAUAUUGGACAAUGGGUGAGAGCCUGAUCCAGCCAUCCCGCGUGAAGGACGACUGCCCUAUGGGUUGUAAACUUCUUUUGUAUAGGGAUAAACCUACCCUCGUGAGGGUAGCUGAAGGUACUAUACGAAUAAGCACCGGCUAACUCCGUGCCAGCAGCCGCGGCAAUACGGAGGGUGCAAGCGUUAUCCGGAUUUAUUGGGUUUAAAGGGUCCGUAGGCGGACUUAUAAGUCAGUGGUGAAAGCCUGGUCGGUUUAACGAUAGAACUGCCAUUGAUUACUGUAAGUCUUGAGUAUAUUUGGAGGUAACUGGAAUAAGUUAGUGUAGGGUUGAAU